GUAGUUUGAUCAUGGCUCAGAACGAACGCUGGCGGCGUGGAUAAGACAUGCAAGUCGAACGGAUCUGUCGGUGUAGCAAUACAUCGGCAGGUUAGUGGCGUAAGGGUGCGUAACACGUGGGCAACCUGCCCGGAAAUGGGGGAUAGCCCGCCGAAAGGCGGAUUAAUACCGCAUGUGACCACCUGAAGACUAUCUUCAGGACGUCAAAGCUGGGGUC
rnacentral:rRNA from 1 species